rnacentral:rRNA from 1 species
UUAAGCUCCCCGCCUGGGGAGUACGGCCGCAAGGCUAAAACUUCAAAGGAAUUGACGGGGGCCCGCACAAAGCAGCGGAGCAUGUGGCUUAAUUCGACGCAACGCGAAGAACCUUACCAAGGGCUUGACAUAUACCGGAAAGCAUUAGAGAUAGUGCCCCCCUUGUGGUCGGUAUACAGGUGGUGCAUGGCUGUCGUCAGCUCGUGUCGUGAGAUGUUGGGUUAAGUCCCGCAACGAGCGCAACCCUUGUCCUGUGUUGCCAGCAUGCCCUUCGGGGUGAUGGGGACUCACAGGAGACCGCCGGGGUCAACUCGGAGGAAGGUGGGGACGACGUCAAGUCAUCAUGCCCCUUAUGUCUUGGGCUGCACACGUGCUACAAUGGCCGGUACAAAGAGCUGCGAUGCCGCGAGGCGGAGCGAAUCUCAAAAAGCCGGUCUCAGUUCGGAUUGGGGUCUGCAACUCGACCNCCAUGAAGUCGGAGUUGCUAGUAAUCGCAGAUCAGCAUUGCUGCGGUGAAUACGUUCCCGGGCCUUG